rnacentral:rRNA from 1 species
AAUAUUGCACAAUGGGCGCAAGCCUGAUGCUAGCCAUGCCGCGUGUAUGAAGUAAGGCCUUCGGGUUGUAAAGUACUUUCAGCAGUUGAGGAAGGUGGGUAUGUUAAUAGCAUACUCAUUUGACGUUAGCUGCAGAAGAAGCACCGGCUAACUCCGUGCCAGCAGCCGCGGUAAUACGGAGGGUGCGAGCGUUAAUCGGAAUUACUGGGCGUAAAGCGCAUGCAGGUGGUUGUUAAGUCAGAUGUGAAAGCCCGGGGCUCAACCUCGGAAUUGCAUUUGAAACUGGCAAACUAGAGUACUGUAGAGGGGGUAGAAUUUCAGGUGUAGCGGUGAAAUGCGUAGAGAUCUGAAGGAAUACCGGUGGCGAAGGCGGCCCCCUGGACAGAUACUGACACUCAGAUGCGAAAGCGUGGGGAGCAAACAGGAUUAGAUACCCUGGUAG